GUAGGUGGCAAGCGUUGUCCGGAAUUAUUGGGCGUAAAGCGCGCGCAGGCGGUUCUUUAAGUCUGAUGUGAAAGCCCACGGCUCAACCGUGGAGGGUCAUUGGAAACUGGAGAACUUGAGUACAGAAGAGGAAAGCGGAAUUCCACGUGUAGCGGUGAAAUGCGUAGAGAUGUGGAGGAACACCAGUGGCGAAGGCGGCUUUCUGGUCUGUAACUGACGCUGAGGCGCGAAAGCGUGGGGUAGCAAACAGGGAUUAGAUACCCUGGUAGUCCACGCCGUAAACGAUGAGUGCUAAGUGUUAGGGGGUUUCCGCCCCCUUAGUGCUGCAGCUAACGCAUUAAGCACUCCGCCUGGGGAGUACGGCCGCAAGGCUG
rnacentral:rRNA from 1 species